AACUCAUUAACUCUAGCUCUUCCCAAAUCAACUGUCUUAAAGAUUAAGAUACCCUAACUUGAGAGGAAGAAAACUCUAUACUUCAAUAUUUUACUGCCCAAGUCACCAAAAAGCCUCUCAUAAAAUUUCUCUUUAUUAUUAAUUAAAGAGACAGGGUCUUACUAUGUUGCCCAGACUGGACUCGGACUCCUGGGCUCAAGCAAUCCUCCUGAGUAGCUGGGACUACACCAUGGUCGAAGGCCUUCAGGUCACAGUGCCCGACAAGAAGA
rnacentral:lncRNA from 1 species